rnacentral:tRNA from 1 species
CCACUGGCUAGCUUAGUUGGUAGAGCGCUUCAUUGGAAAUGUAGAGGUCCUGAGUACGAUACCCGGAUCAGGUGGA